rnacentral:rRNA from 1 species
AGGGCUAAUACAUGCAAGUCGAGGGGCGCACGGGUAUCCAUACUGGGUGGCGACCGGCGCACGGGUGCGUAACACGUAUACAAUCUGCCUAUAUCAGGAGGAUAGCCCGGAGAAAUUCGGAUUAAUACUCCAUAACAUAGUUAAAUGGCAUCAUUUGAUUAUUAAAGUUCCGACGGAUAUAGAUGAGUAUGCGGAUGAUUAGCUAGUUGGUAGUGUAACGGACUACCAAGGCGACGAUCAAUAGGGGUACUGAGAGGUUAAACCCCCACACUGGUACUGAGACACGGACCAGACUCCUACGGGAGGCAGCAGUAAGGAAUAUUGGACAAUGGUGGCAACACUGAUCCAGCCAUGCCGCGUGCAGGAUGAAGGCGCUAUGCGUUGUAAACUGCUUUUGUACGAGAGAAAACCUAUCUACGUGUAGAUAGCUGAUAGUAUCGUAAGAAUAAGCAUCGGCUAACUUCGUGCCAGCAGCCGCGGUAAUACGAAGGAUGCAAGCGUUAUCCGGAUUUAUUGGGUUUAAAGGGUGCGUANGCGGACUUAUAAGUCAGUGGUGAAAUCUCGUUGCUUAACAACGAACGUGCCAUUGAUACUGUANGUCUUGAGUACAGAUGCCGUUGGCGGAAUGUGUCAUGUAGCGGUGAAAUGCAUAGAUAUGACACAGAACACCGAUUGCGAAGGCAGCUGACGAAACUGUAACUGACGCUGAGGCACGAAAGCGUGGGGAUCAAACAGGAUUAGAUACCCUGGUAGUCCACGCCCCAAACUAUGAAUACUAGCUGGCCGCGAAAACAAACCCGGUAACCCAGCCGAAGCGAAAAGAAUCCACCUGGGGAGUACGCCCGCCAGGGUGGAACUCAAAGGGAAUGGCGGGGGGCCCCACA